rnacentral:rRNA from 1 species
UAGGGAAUCUUCGGCAAUGGGGGCAACCCUGACCGAGCAACGCCGCGUGAGUGAAGAAGGUUUUCGGAUCGUAAAGCUCUGUUGUAAGUCAAGAACGAGUGUGAGAGUGGAAAGUUCACACUGUGACGGUAGCUUACCAGAAAGGGACGGCUAACUACGUGCCAGCAGCCGCGGUGAUACGUAGGUCCCGAGCGUUGUCCGGAUUUAUUGGGCGUAAAGCGAGCGCAGGCGGUUUGAUAAGUCUGAAGUUAAAGGCUGUGGCUCAACCAUAGUUCGCUUUGGAAACUGUCAAACUUGAGUGCAGAAGGGGAGAGUGGAAUUCCAUGUGUAGCGGUGAAAUGCGUAGAUAUAUGGAGGAACACCGGUGGCGAAAGCGGCUCUCUGGUCUGUAACUGACGCUGAGGCUCGAAAGCGUGGGGAGCGAACAGGAUUAGAUACCCUGGUAGUCCACGCCGUAAACGAUGAGUGCUAGGUGUUGGAUCCUUUCCGGGAUUCAGUGCCGCAGCUAACGCAUUAAGCACUCCGCCUGGGGAGUACGACCGCAAGGUUG